GACGGAGGAUGCAAGCGUUAUCCGGAAUGAUUGGGCGUAAAGCGUCCGCAGGCGGCAGUUCAAGUCUGCUGUCAAAGACCGGGGCUUAACUUCGGAAAGGCAGUGGAAACUGAACAGCUAGAGUAUGGUAGGGGCAGAGGGAAUUCCCGGUGUAGCGGUGAAAUGCGUAGAUAUCGGGAAGAACACCAGUGGCGAAAGCGCUCUACUGGGCCAUAACUGACACUGAGGGACGAAAGCUAGGGGAGCGAAAGGG
rnacentral:rRNA from 1 species